UACUUUCUGGGAGAUGUGUGUGGGGGUUACAGAGCUAAGUAGGCACUCUCUUGGAGGAGGGAAUUUGGGUUAGUAAACCCAAAGAGGAUGGGAGGACAGAAAAUAGAGCAGAGAAUUAGCAAGGAGUCUAGGGAAAUAACAAUAGGGUCUGGGAGCAAGCAGAUUAUAGUUGCUGGACAUAGGGUCUCUGGAUGGGAACCCUGAGUAGUAGGGGAACCUGGGCUCACCCAUCAGCUGCUGGGAAAGGGGUAUAGGACUUGGUCUUGGGUGAGGAGUGGAUGAAGAUAGCUGAUCCAGUGGAACUUUGAUAGCCUGGAAGGACUGUACAGUUACCUGUCUGGAGGGCUAAGUCACAAAGAAAAAAUAUGUAAAGUCCCAAAGACCAAGUUGGUGCCUAGUGAAAAUGAGAAGACAGAUGGGGGUGUCAGCCCUGGAUCGAGCUAAUCUCGAGAGUAGUUGGAAGGAGAUGCUGCCCUAGCAGUGAGUGGACCUGUGAUAGGGACCUUCUGUCUCUUGUUUUUAACAUGGCUGCUGACACCAUCUGAGAUACUGGAGCAACCAAUCCCUUCCUGAUAUAAAUGGAGGCAGGUGCUGCUAGAGGAGCAUCCUGGUGAGGAGCUGACUUUCCUCUCUGGUUCACCAUAGUCUUAAUUUCAGGAUACAGUACAAAACCAACCCAUUUUCUCAACAUUGCUGUGAGGAAAAUUGGUAUAUUGUCUGGAGGGCUAAGUGGUAAUUAUGGGACAGGAAUCCAGGAGAGGGAUGAUUUUGGGAUGAUCAGCUGAUGAUUGAGGGCCUCAGUAUGUGGGAAAUCCUUAUGGGAAUAGGAAUAUGAAGUAUGAAGGUCUCUUUUCUGCAAUUACCAGUGAAGUACAGAGCAAAGCUGUUUCCUCUGUUCAUGAAACUGAAAUAACCUGAUGAGAGAAAUAGUCUUGAAGACUUCACUUAUUUGGAAUUUUGUGCUCCAUCCAAAAUGGCCAGAGGAGGAGGUUUCUACCUUAUAACACCACGUGCCGCAUCCAACAAGCCAUCUCCAACAGGUGCUGCUCCUUCACACACACUGCACCUUGGCGUGCGGCAGCUCAGGAGCUGAUCACAGGCCCAGGAUUGAUACACGGCGAAAGUUUGACUCUCCUCGAAAGCACUUUAUGCUUAUCUGCCUUGAUCUCCGAGCUGCGGGGUGGCUUCUUCCACUGCUAUUUUUGUUGAAUGUUUUUUUCUGAAAUACCAGUGAAUAGUUCCACUAAACUUAAAUAAAGAUAUUUGCUAUUAAAAAAAAAACAACUUUACAACAGGGGUCUCUCACCUCUCAGUGGGGUGCUCUAACAACUGAGCUAUUGGAUAUUCUGAUAUUCUCUCCUGAAGCUGUUCCACUUCGGAUAAAUAAUGAGUGAUUGGGGUAGGGAAACUGGACCAAGAGUCUCCCAUCUCUCAGGUGGGUGCCCUAACCACUGGACUACAGUCAUUCUCACUUUCUCUCUUUGGCCCAGAGACUUGGGUGCCUGUAUCUGGGGUUUAAGUGCCUAAAUACUUCUGUGGAUCUAGGUAAAAUUGUUUACUUAGCAAAUGAAUGUAUGAUAAAAUCUGAAGACUCUCACAGCUGGCUUUAAAUGAA